rnacentral:rRNA from 1 species
GGAAUCUUCCACAAUGGACGCAAGUCUGAUGGAGCAACGCCGCGUGAGUGAAGAAGGCUUUCGGGUCGUAAAACUCUGUUAUUGAAGAAGAACGUGUGUGACAGUAAAUGGUCAUGCAGUGACGGUAUUCAAUCAGAAAGUCACGGCUAACUACGUGCCAGCAGCCGCGGUAAUACGUAGGUGGCAAGCGUUGUCCGGAUUUAUUGGGCGUAAAGCGAGUGCAGGCGGUCUUUUAAGUCUGAUGUGAAAGCCUUCGGCUUAACCGAAGAAGGGCAUCGGAAACUGGGAGACUUGAGUGCAGAAGAGGAGAGUGGAACUCCAUGUGUAGCGGUGAAAUGCGUAGAUAUAUGGAAGAACACCAGUGGCGAAGGCGGCUCUCUGGUCUGUAACUGACGCUGAGGCUCGAAAGCGUGGGUAGCAA